UGCAGAAGGUGAAGGAAUUGGAAUCUGCUGUGGAAAGAUUGACAGAUGAACAGAAGCAGCUACUGACUGCACUGGCGCUGCUGGAGGAGCAGCUCAGCCAGACAUGGCUGGAACUGCAGGCUGCACGUGCAGCACAGAAGGACAUGGACUCCAGCAUGCAAGCUUUGGAAAGCAGACUUAAAAGUAUGACUGAUAAGGAUAAGGCGUUGCUCCCACUUGUCCACAAGCUGCUCUUCGGUUCAUCACAAGACAGCACAGGGGAACCACUGACAGCACAGCUGGUGCAUCGCAAGGAACUCGAGGCCCUCCUCGCUGGCUUCGAGAAGA